AGAAUCAACGCUGGCGGCGUGCCUAACACAUGCAAGUCGCACGAGAAAGGGACUUCGGUCCUGAGUACAGUGGCGCACGGGUGAGUAACACGUGAAUAAUCUACCUCCGAGUGGGGAAUAACUGAGAGAAAUCUUAGCUAAUACCGCAUAACACUUACGAGUCAAAGCAGCAAUGCGCUUGGAGAGGAGUUCGCGGCAGAUUAGUUAGUUGGCGGGGUAAUGGCCCACCAAGACGAUGAUCUGUAUCCGGCCUGAGAGGGCACACGGACACACUGGAACUGAAACACGGUCCAGACUCCUACGGGAGGCAGCAGUGGGGAAUUUUGCGCAAUGGGGGAAACCCUGACGCAGCAACGCCGCGUGGAGGAUGAAAUCCCUUGGGAUGUAAACUCCUUUUCGAUAGGGAAGAUAAUGACGGUACCUAUAGAAGAAGCCCCGGCUAACUUCGCGCCAGCAGCCGC
rnacentral:rRNA from 1 species